rnacentral:rRNA from 1 species
UGAGGAAUAUUGCGCAAUGGGCGAAAGCCUGACGCAGCGACGCCGCGUGUGGGAUGAAGGAGCUUUGCUUCGUAAACCACUGUCGGACGGGAAGAAAAAGUUCCUACGGGGGCUUGGGACAGUACCGUCAGAGGAAGCACCGGCUAACUACGUGCCAGCAGCCGCGGUAAUACGUAGGGUGCGAGCGUUGUCCGGAAUUACUGGGUGUAAAGGGUGCGUAGGCGGGCAUGUGCGUCGGAGGUUAAAUACAACGGCUUAACCGUUGAACUGCCUUCGAAACGGCAUGUCUUGAAUGUGGGAGAGGAUGAUGGAAUUCCUGGUGUAGCGGUGAAAUGCGUAGAUAUCAGGAGGAACACCGGUGGCGAAGGCGGUCAUCUGGCCCACUAUUGACGCUGAGGCACGAAAGCGUGGGGAGCAAACAGG